GGUGUUAACAGGGUCAGGCUCUGACAAGCAGGGAAAGGAAAUGGUGAAACCAACUACGUACACAAUGAUAUGAACACCAGAAGGUAGGCUGCGGGAGAUAUUCCUUGUUCCUGGAUUCAAGGUAUCAUAGCAGGUUCAUAAGACUUACCUCUCCUUUCGUGUCUCUCAUCAGACACAUGGACGAGAGAGACCCCGUUCCACUCCUGAUGAAGUGUUUCUGUUCCACGUUGCUGCAGACCUUGCAGCAGCGUUUGUGGGCGGAGCACGGAGAGGGGGGGGGGCACAGCUCCCGUGUCUGGAAGGACAGUGCCACCGCCUGGGCUCGCAAAGUCCUGUCCCGCUCCAGUAAGCCCGGAGUCACAUGCACCGCUAUUCCUACAUUUUGUGGAAUCUCUGCUUUCCUGAGAAGGAAAUGAUG